rnacentral:rRNA from 1 species
UGGGGAAUCUUGGACAAUGGGCGCAAGCCUGAUCCAGCCAUGCCGCGUGAGUGAAGAAGGCCUUCGGGUUGUAAAGCUCUUUUUACCAGGGACGAUAAUGACGGUACCUGGAGAAUAAGCCCCGGCAAACUUCGUGCCAGCAGCCGCGGUAAUACGAAGGGGGCUAGCGUUGUUCGGAAUUACUGGGCGUAAAGGGCUCGUAGGCGGCCAACUAAGUCAGACGUGAAAUCCCUCGGCUUAACCGGGGAACUGCGUCUGAUACUGGAUGGCUUGAGGUUGGGAGAGGGAUGCGGAAUUCCAGGUGUAGCGGUGAAAUGCGUAGAUAUCUGGAGGAACACCGGUGGCGAAGGCGACAUCCUGGACCAAUUCUGACGCUGAGGAGCGAAAGCCAGGGGAGCAAACGGGAUUAGAUACCCAAGUAGUCCCUGAGCGGGCUGGCAAGGCGCAU